rnacentral:rRNA from 1 species
GAUGAACGCUGGCGGCGUGCCUAAUACAUGCAAGUCGAGCGAACGGACGAGAAGCUUGCUUCUCUGAUGUUAGCGGCGGACGGGUGAGUAACACGUGGAUAACCUACCUAUAAGACUGGGAUAACUUCGGGAAACCGGAGCUAAUACCGGAUAAUAUUUUGAACCGCAUGGUUCAAAAGUGAAAGACGGUCUUGCUGUCACUUAUAGAUGGAUCCGCGCUGCAUUAGCUAGUUGGUAAGGUAACGGCUUACCAAGGCAACGAUGCAUAGCCGACCUGAGAGGGUGAUCGGCCACACUGGAACUGAGACACGGUCCAGACUCCUACGGGAGGCAGCAGUAGGGAAUCUUCCGCAAUGGGCGAAAGCCUGACGGAGCAACGCCGCGUGAGUGAUGAAGGUCUUCGGAUCGUAAAACUCUGUUAUUAGGGAAGAACAUAUGUGUAAGUAACUGUGCACAUCUUGACGGUACCUAAUCAGAAAGCCACGGCUAACUACGUGCCAGCAGCCGCGGUAAUACGUAGGUGGCAAGCGUUAUCCGGAAUUAUUGGGCGUAAAGCGCGCGUAGGCGGUUUUUUAAGUCUGAUGUGAAAGCCCACGGCUCAACCGUGGAGGGUCAUUGGAAACUGGAAAACUUGAGUGCAGAAGAGAAAAGUGGAAUUCCAUGUGUAGCGGUGAAAUGCGCAGAGAUAUGGAGGAACACCAGUGGCGAAGGCGACUUUCUGGUCUGUAACUGACGCUGAUGUGCGAAAGCGUGGGGAUCAGACAGGAUUAGAUACCCUGGUAGUCCACGCCGUAAACGAUGAGUGCUAAGUGUUAGGGGGUUUCCGCCCCUUAGUGCUGCAGCUAACGCAUUAAGCACUCCGCCUGGGGAGUACGACCGCAAGGUUGAAACUCAAAGGAAUUGACGGGGACCCGCACAAGCGGUGGAGCAUGUGGUUUAAUUCGAAGCAACGCGAAGAACCUUACCAAAUCUUGACAUCCUUUGACAACUCUAGAGAUAGAGCUUUCCCCUUCGGGGGACAAAGUGACAGGUGGUGCAUGGUUGUCGUCAGCUCGUGUCGUGAGAUGUUGGGUUAAGUCCCGCAACGAGCGCAACCCUUAAGCUUAGUUGCCAUCAUUAAGUUGGGCACUCUAAGUUGACUGCCGGUGACAAACCGGAGGAAGGUGGGGAUGACGUCAAAUCAUCAUGCCCCUUAUGAUUUGGGCUACACACGUGCUACAAUGGACAAUACAAAGGGCAGCGAAACCGUGAGGUCAAGCAAAUCCCAUAAAGUUGUUCUCAGUUCGGAUUGUAGUCUGCAACUCGACUACAUGAAGCUGGAAUCGCUAGUAAUCGUAGAUCAGCAUGCUACGGUGAAUACGUUCCCGGGUCU